GUGGAAAACAAUAGAGCAAUUAAUCAGCCAGCAAUAGUGGAUCCUAAUAGCUGGGAGUGGUCAGCUUUCCUCUGAGAGCCGCUUUUGGCCACUGGGGACACCUCUGUCCUUGGACCCAGGGAAGAGACCCAUGCCAGCCCAGCAGGGAGCCUCUGGACCUCAGGAGCCCCAGAGCCGCGCCCAGACUUCAGAGCUGUCAGGUGGCAGUGAAACAGCAGAAGAACAAAACUGAAAACAAAAUGACUUGGGUAAACCACCGCAUCCUAAAGAGACAGAGAGAUCCUUCCGCAGGCAUUCAGAUAACUCCGCACUGGCUCCCUGCACUUUUGCCCAAGAAAGGGAGUUUAUGGGAAAAUCCGCACCAUGCUUGGGCAGUAACCAAGCAAGCAGUAGGAGGUCACCGGGAACCUCUGCAUUUUCCAGAGCAAGAGCCAGCACAUGGAGGAAGUGACUUUCACAAGGCCACACCUGCGUCCUUGCCUGGAGCACGACCCCCAUCUCUCCAGGACUUCUCGGGGAGCAGUUCGAGAGGAGGCGUGCCGGAAGAUGAAGGGUUAAUGUGCGGUUUGCCUCCUGAAAUAAAACCCCCUGAAUCUGCUCAAGGACAUCCUUUAAAUUCCUUUCCUCCAACACUUUGUUUGCAAGCCCAUAAAUAGCUCCUCUUCAAACACAGACUGAAAGCCCAACCUAAUAAAAGAGGUAAAACUGUUUCUGGGCUGAAACAGUUAUUGUAUU